CAGCAGCCACGGUAAUACGUAGGGCGCAAGCGUUAUCCGGAAUUAUUGGGCGUAAAGAGCUCGUAGGCGGUUUGUCGCGUCUGCCGUGAAAGUCCGGGGCUCAACUCCGGAUCUGCGGUGGGUACGGGCAGACUAGAGUGAUGUAGGGGAGACUGGAAUUCCUGGUGUAGCGGUGAAAUGCGCAGAUAUCAGGAGGAACACCGAUGGCGAAGGCAGGUCUCUGGGCAUUAACUGACGCUGAGGAGCGAAAGCAUGGGGAGCGAACAGGAUUAGAUACCCGCGUAGUCCCUGUCUCUUAUAC
rnacentral:rRNA from 1 species